GUUUGAAAUAUUUUUAAACUAGCACAGUUAAAGUGACACCACCAAAAAUCGACAUGAUCUGUAUUUUGUGUUAAAAGGAAUUGUGUAUUUAGUUUAUUUGAGGCAAACUAAAGACGAGAAAGAAAACCAGACAAGGUGGCAUCAUAAUAAGGAGAUCUUUUUUACCUACAAAGUCUGCAAUCAGCUGCUAGUCUGAAGCCCCGACAAGUAUUUGCAUAAUUUUCAUAAAUGUCAAACUACAGUACGGGUAGGGACUUAUUUUUAUGGAUGUCUUAAUCCGUCUAGUCGGAUAUGAAUAAUCCGACAUUUUUAUGGUAGGUAGUAUGGUCAUUAAUCAACAGAUCCAGGUGUGAAUGGUCCUUUCAUCUUAAUCCCUGUUGCUAGAAUUACGGUUCACUGAUUUCAGAAUCAGGUUACCUGUAAUUUUAACCUCUCAGUCACUUUAUUGAUUAUAUUAGUUCUACAUCGUAUUUGACAUAAAAUAUUUUUACAGGUGAAGUACUGGAGAAAACUUUGUUUUAAUAAAAAUAGCCUAUUUUUGUUAAUUAUGGUUUUUAUAUUUCAACUGCUGUUUAUUUUCUUUGUUUCUAAAAAUUAUUUUUGAUUUUAUGUUCCUUUUCGUUUGUUUUUUUUUUUUUUGUAUCUUUUUCUUAUUUGUUAGCAUAAAUUUUUUAAACAUAUAUAUUUUUACAUGUAUUCUAUUUCUUGAAGCUUACGGUUAUUUUUGUUUUACUGAUUUAUUUUCCACGUAAAUCCAUUGAUUAGCAGAAUGCUGUCUCAAG
rnacentral:lncRNA from 1 species